rnacentral:rRNA from 1 species
UACAGAGGGGGGCAAGCGUUGUUCGGAAUUACUGGGCGUAAAGGGCGCGUAGGCGGCGCGACAAGUCACUUGUGAAAUCUCUGGGCUCAACCCAGAACGGUCAAGUGAUACUGUCGUGCUAGAGUGCGGAAGGGGCAACUGGAAUUCCUGGUGUAGCGGUGGAAUGCGCAGAUAUCAGGAGGAACACCAAUAGCGAAGGCAGCUC